rnacentral:rRNA from 1 species
CUUUUUUAUUAAUAAGAUCUUUUAAAAAAAAUUAUGCUGUUAUCCCUAAGGUAAUUAAUUUUUAAAUUUAAAUUAUAAGAUCAAUAAUUCAGUUAUUACUGUUUUUUUAAAAAAAAAUUUUUUUAAUUUUUAAAUUACCCCAAUUAAAUUUAUAUUUUUAAUAUAAAUUUAUAAAUUAAUUUUUAUAAUAAUAAAUAAAUAAAAUUCUAUAGGGUCUUGUCGUCUAAUAAUUUUAUUUAAGUUUUUUUACUUAAAUAAAAAUUUAAAUUUUUAUUUAAUUGAAACAGUUUAUAUUUUAUUUAAUCAUUCAUUCUAGUUUUUAAUUAAAAAACAAAUUAUUAUGCUACCUUUGUACAGUUAUAAAUUCUGCAGCCAUUUAAUAAUCAUAA